UCUGGCUAAGGAGACAUGACAAGGGCAGAGGCAUAGAAUGUAUUUUGUUGUUAGACUUAUCUUUUGCCCUUCUGCCAUUACCAUGAAGUGAACAUGACCCACGGAUCCCGCUAUUCCAGGGAAAAUGAGAGAUAUGUGGAGCAUACCUGGAUCCAUCCCAAAGUCUGGUGCCAAGCCCACGUAGGCCUAACCUAGGACAGUGAAUUUGGGUGGACUUGGCAAAGAAUGAAAAUCGAGUCAGUGAAGAUUCUGUGUUGUGGAGGCAAAAAGAAAAAGAAGAGAAACAUUCAAGUACAGUGGAGAUGCUUAUCUUCAGUGGUGAACCAUUCAGAGCCUCUAUCUGAAGACUCCUUUGGUGGAUAUACUCACUAAUGGCUAUUUGGUAUUCUAGUGUCUGGGCCUCCUGCUCUUCUGACCUUGAGUAUCCUCUUCCAUAGCAAGCAACUCUUUUUCUUUGGAAUAUAGUGCAGCGAAUAGGGUAGUGAGACAUUGUCAAAGAAUUUGGACUUUGUUCCCUUGCUUCUCUGAUCUUGAGUGAGGCAAGUAGUUCCUGCCAACUUCAUAUUGCCUCUGAGGACACAACUUUAAGACUUGCCAGGGAUUUUUCUUGACUUUGUAUCUGUGGCACCUGAUGCUGAGGUGGUCAUAAUCAAGUUCCAAAGUGGUCUGGAGCAUUUGCAAUACAGAACCUGCUUCUCUUGCUACUUGGACCAUAUUCAAAUCCACGGGAGGAGGCUGGGGAGCAACCAUAUCAUUUUCACAGCAGUUGCACCAUUUAUAUUCCUACCAGUAAUACACAAGGGUACCAAUUUCUCCACAUCCUCACCAACACUUGUUAUUUUCUACUUUUUUAUUUAUAU